rnacentral:rRNA from 1 species
GGAUCAAUACGUCGGUCGUGCUUUGGUACGUACUGGCGUAAUUGAUUUCUCCCUUCUGACGAACCAUGAUGUCAUUAACUUGGUGUCAUGGGAAAUCAGGACUGUUACUUUGAAAAAAUUAGAGUGCUUAAAGCAGGCUAUCGCCUGAAUACAUUAGCAUGGAAUAAUGAAAUAGGACGGCAUGGUUCUAUUUUGUUGGUUUCUAGGAUCACCGUA